ACACGUGAGUAACCUGCCCUUAACUCUGGGAUAAGCCUGGGAAACUGGGUCUAAUACCGGAUAGGAGCGUCCACCGCAUGGUGGGUGUUGGAAAGAUUUAUCGGUUUUGGAUGGACUCGCGGCCUAUCAGCUUGUUGGUGAGGUAAUGGCUCACCAAGGCGACGACGGGUAGCCGGCCUGAGAGGGUGACCGGCCACACUGGGACUGAGACACGGCCCAGACUCCUACGGGAGGCAGCAGUGGGGAAUAUUGCACAAUGGGCGAAAGCCUGAUGCAGCGACGCCGCGUGAGGGAUGACGGCCUUCGGGUUGUAAACCUCUUUCAGUAGGGAAGAAGCGAAAGUGACGGUACCUGCAGAAGAAGCACCGGCUAACUACGUGCCAGCAGCCGCGGUAAUACGUAGGGUGCGAGCGUUAUCCGGAAUUAUUGGGCGUAAAGAGCUCGUA
rnacentral:rRNA from 1 species